GGACUACUGGGGUUUCUAAUCCCGUUUGCUCCCCUAGCUUUCGCGCCUCAGCGUCAGUUGAGGUCCAGCACGUCGCUUUCGCCACCGGCGUUCCUUCCGAUAUCUACGCAUUUCACCGCUCCACCGGAAGUUCCACAUGCCCCUACCUCACUCGAGACACCCAGUAUCAAAGGCACUUUUCCGGUUGGGCCGAAAGAUUUCACCCCUGACUUGGAUGCCCGCCUACGCGCCCUUUAAGCCCAGUGAAUCCGAACAACGUUCGCACGGUUCGUCUUACCGCGGCUGCUGGCAC
rnacentral:rRNA from 1 species